UAAACUUUUACGGCUGAGCGUGAUUUGUAUUGAUUUUAUUAUUCCGUUAAAAAAUAUAGCUGUUAAAAUGUGGCUUUUAUGUAGUGUAGGAAGAAAAUAAUGACCGUCAGGACGGGCUGAACAUCUACUUCAAUAACAGCAGAAUUAAGGCUAAAAGAGUCUAGAAUAAGCAUAAAGUUCCAAGAAAAGCACCGGCUCCAGAACAAGAAACUGAUUAUCUUCAAUAAAGCAAUUCCCUGCCUUGAUGUGACUUAUUCUUUCCUGGGAUCCCUGAAAAUUAUAUUCUAUUCUUCAGAAGCAGGUUUUUUUGGUAUACAUAAUUUGAUAUGAGGAAUGCAGAAGUACAUAUUGUGAGAUGCUGCACAUCAUGUCUCAAACCUCAAAUUACUCUCCUGAAUAAUUCAAAGGCACCUGAAGGCAAUCAAUUAAUUAUCUUGAAUGUUUGCACUGGGCAUAACUUGAUUCGGGGGAAUAAUGUCAAGGAUUUGAAUGCCAUAGAAAUGAAAAAUAAAAUAAUGUUUAAAAAAUGAUUUAUGUUCCAGAAAUGUAAAGAAAUUAGUUCCAAUGCACCUUUCAUAUUGGAGGGUGUUAAAGAGGUCACACACUACCUGACUAAUAAAUAAUAAACACAUUGAGGGUAUGCAAUAAAAUAAAAUCAGCUGAGCCACCAUAAUAGUGGGAUAAUAGUCUCUGGGAAGGGAGUGUGACUGUGGGAUA